CCUAGUGACUGCGGAGGAUCUUAUCGAAAUCGAAAGCCUAGGAGAAAGGGGGGGGGGGAUGCGGGGCUGUCCCUGGCCUCUUUGGCAUGUGCACCCGUUGGUCCCUCCCCCCCCUUCAAAGCUUUCAAYUUCUCAACACCUGGGUGCACCCCCUGAAGGAUCCUUCGGGACCWAUGUCUUGUCUUCCAAACUCCCAUGUCUACAAAAUGUGUAUGCUUCCCGUUGGCAACUGCAAAACCUUUGUACAACUUUCAGCAAUGGAUCUCUUGGCUCCCCCAUCGAUAAAAAACGCACCAAAUCCCRAUAAGUAAUGUGAAUUGCAAAUUUUCCGUGAAUCAUCAAAUCUUUAAACGCACCUUGCCCYCCUUGGUAUUCCAAGGAGCAUGCCUGUUUAAGUGUCAUCAAAAUAUCGAACCAAAUGAUUUCAAUGCUGUCGGARCUCGGUUUCGUAUKUUGGRAGUGGUGCGGGCGGAAACUUCGGCUCCCCUCAAAAGAAUUAUCUGUGGGCCCAACCCUCCAAGGGAACGGCCCCUUUAACGUCGAAAUGAUCGCCGGGGGCUUGAAAGUGCGUGGGUUAACUUGUCUCCACCCUUCAAAACCUUCUGCAAGUCCGUCCGUCGUCCGAACGGUCGCACGUAUCAAUGCUUGACCUCAAAUCAGGAAGGAUAACCCGCUAAAUUUAAGCAUAUCAAU
rnacentral:rRNA from 1 species